rnacentral:rRNA from 1 species
GUCAUAAAAUGAUGGGAUGAAUGUAGCUUCGGUCUCGUGCUGAAGUUUGUUAUAGCCUCUGGUAGAUGUGAUGAUCGGGAUUGAGGAUUGCAGCGAAUACCUUUUAGGCUACCCGCCUGAUCUCUGAUGGUUGCUAUGGUGCCGAAAGCUUGCUUACGGUUAUCAGAGUUUGAUUGUCAAAAGGUUAGAACGGGUUAAAUUCGUUAAGGAUGUUGACGUAAUGGCUUUAAACGGCCCGUCUUGAAACACGG